rfam:Trypanosoma cruzi strain CL Brener tcruzi_1047053405147, whole genome shotgun sequence.
UAACAUCACAGACUUUGACGAGCCCGUGAGCAAGAAACACUGUCGCCCCAGUCUGACCG